rnacentral:rRNA from 1 species
GACGAACGCUGGCGGCGUGCUUAACACAUGCAAGUCGAACGGAAAGGCCCUGCUUUUGUGGGGUGCUCGAGUGGCGAACGGGUGAGUAACACGUGAGUAACCUGCCCUUGACUUUGGGAUAACUUCAGGAAACUGGGGCUAAUACCGGAUAGGAGCUCCUGCUGCAUGGUGGGGGUUGGAAAGUUUCGGCGGUUGGGGAUGGACUCGCGGCUUAUCAGCUUGUUGGUGGGGUAGUGGCUUACCAAGGCUUUGACGGGUAGCCGGCCUGAGAGGGUGACCGGCCACAUUGGGACUGGGAUACGGCCCAGACUCCUACGGGAGGCAGCAGUGGGGAAUAUUGCACAAUGGGCGGGAGCCUGAUGCAGCAACGCCGCGUGCGGGAUGACGGCCUUCGGGUUGUAAACCGCUUUCGCCUGUGACGAAGCGUGAGUGACGGUAAUGGGUAAAGAAGCACCGGCUAACUACGUG